rnacentral:sRNA from 1 species
CAAACUUAACGAACGCUACGAGUUGAAAUCAGA